rnacentral:lncRNA from 1 species
ACCCGCGCGCACUCCUCUCCUCUCUAGCCGACAGCCGCCCCCCCUCUUUCGCUGACCACCGGGCCCCGCGCGUCAGCACCUUCCUUCUUCUUCCCUAGCGCGUUCCGAACCGGAAACGAGCUCCGGAAGGAAAGCGAUCUCGGUUUCCUCGGGAUCUUUCCUUCCUCGCGUCUUUGUAGCCAUAUAAAGGCCCCGAACCUCGCCCGCACCCCGUGCUUCCCCUCUAAGCCGCC